GCCUUUUACUUUUAGGAGCUGAUUCACAAAAGCAGAAUUUAUAAAUCCAGGAUAACCGAUAAAACAAGGCUUGACCUAGUCUAAUCUGUGCAGCCUGGCUUGGUGCAUUUCACAAAUGCCAAGCCAGACUGAGGCGGAGCGACUAGGUCGAGCCAGGCUGAAGUAUUCUGGAUAGAUGCGCGUUCACAGCUUUCCACUACGAGGUCUUUAACAGGUUUACUCAUUUUAA